rnacentral:rRNA from 1 species
CAAUAGCGUAUAUUAAAGUUGUUGCAGUUAAAAAGCUCGUAGUUGGAUUUCUGAUCGAGACAUCAGGUCGGGUCCGAGAGGAUCAUGUACUUUGAUUUGUUUUGAUCAUCCUUGGGGAGAGCAUUUCUGGCAUUCAGUUGUCGGGAUUGGGAUCCUCAUCGUUUACUGUGAAAAAAUUAGAGUGUUCAAAGCAGGCCUCGGCCUCUGAAUACAUUAGUAUGGAAUAAUAAGAUAGGACUUUGGUGGUCUAUUUUGUUGGUUUGCACGCCAAAGUAAUGAUUAAUAGGGAUAGUUGGGGGUAUUCGUAUUCAAUUGUCAGAGGUGAAAUUCUUGGAUUUAUGGAAGACGAACUACUGCGAAAGCAUUUACCAAGGAUGUUUUCAUUAA